rnacentral:rRNA from 1 species
UACGAAGGGGGCUAGCGUUGCUCGGAAUCACUGGGCGUAAAGGGCGCGUAGGCGGCUGUUCAAGUCGGGGGUGAAAGCCUGUGGCUCAACCACAGAAUGGCCUUCGAUACUGGACGGCUCGAGACCGGAAGAGGUCAGUGGAACUGCGAGUGUAGAGGUGAAAUUCGUAGAUAUUCGCAAGAACACCAGUGGCGAAGGCGGCUGACUGGUCCGGUUCUGACGCUGAGGCGCGAAAGCGUGGAGAGCAAACAGG